AGAGUUUGAUCAUGGCUCAGGACGAACGCUGGCGGUGCGCCUUAUGCAUGCAAGUCGAGCGAAGCUUUUCAGUAGUUUACUACAGAAAAUGACUGAGCGGCGAACGGGUGAGUAACGCGUGAGCAAUCUACCUUAGUUACAGGGAUAGCCCGAGGAAACUCGGAUUAAUACCUGAUAUUCUUUAUUUCUCGCAUGAGAAUAAAAGGAAAGGUCAGCCGAACUAAGAUGAGCUCGCGUUCUAUCAGCUAGUUGGUGAGGUAAAAGCUUACCAAGGCUACGACGGAUAGCUGGUCUGAGAGGACGAUCAGCCACACUGGGACUGAGACACGGCCCAGACUCCUACGGGAGGCUGCAGCAGGGAAUAUUGUGCAAUGAACGAAAGUUUGACACAGCGACACCGCGUGUGGGAUGACGGAUCUAGGUUUGUAAACCACUUUCAGGAGGGAAGAAAAUGACGGUACCUCCACAAGAAGCCCCGGCCAACUACGUGCCAGCCGCCGCGGUACUAC
rnacentral:rRNA from 1 species